rnacentral:lncRNA from 1 species
AUCAGAUGGGCAUGUGUAUAACUACCUAAACAUACUGAGCAUGUUCAAUUCCCAAAGUGUUUGGCAUCUAGUGGUCACUCAAGUGCCCUUUAUUGAGUGAGAAGACACAGGGAUUCAUUCACCUGAGAGACUCAGUUUCAGGUUUUAGGAUGACCAGUGAGAUGAUCAGAACUUCAGAACCUUCCAAGGUGAUGGGUCAUUCAAGCUCCAGGAACGUCAAGGCCUCAACAGUUUGGACAUAAUUUUAAGCAACACAUAUAAGACCCACAGGUCUCCACUGAUAUGACUGGGGAUCUCAUGAAGAAACUACUCGACAAAGACAGAUACUGGAGGGAUAGAAGAGUCUAUGAAGUACAGAAAAGAGGAAAGAUCUGCAAACAAUUCGUAUUGUGUAGUCUGAGCCUUGUGCAAGAAAACUGCAGUGUUAAUCUCCCUUCAGCACUGGGUCCACCAUGUGGCUGUGAACAGGAA